UACGUAGGGUGCGAGCGUUAAUCGGAAUUACUGGGCGUAAAGCGUGCGCAGGCGGUUCGUUGUGUCGGCGGUGAAAUCCCCCGGGCUCAACCUGGGAACUGCCUUUGUGACUGCAUAGCUAGAGUACGGUAGAGGGGGAUGGAAUUCCGCGUGUAGCAGUGAAAUGCGUAGAGUAUGCGGAGGAACACCGAUGGCGAAGGCAAUCCCCUGGACCUGUACUGACGCUCAUGCACGAAAGCGUGGGGAGCAAACAGG
rnacentral:rRNA from 1 species